CCUCUGGGCGUGGCCGAAGCGUGCAGCAUUCUUAAGAGACCCGGACAUUCUUAGGAGGUUGCUGACUAUGAGACGGCAGCCCGGCGACAGCAGGAGCUUCCCAGCCGACGAGGCGGCCUUCCUUCGCACCUGGCACGGACCGGCGUCCCCAGAUGUCCGAGAGAUAAGUAGAGGGCCACGACCCACAGAGGGGAUGAAAGCGGGGUGCUGGGUUGGGAGUCACCGUGAGGGGUUUAUGAGUCCACUUUGGCGAUGGGCUUGUCCAAGUAGUAAAGGGAAAAUGUCACUUUUGAUCACAGCGCUGAGGUGUGCGCAGGGCAGAGCAGUCCCAGUGUGUAUCGUGACACUUGUCUAUCGUGCAUUCUGUGUGCUUGGGUGUCUCAUUUCUUUUUGCUUAGCCCUUUGAGGGGCCUGUCAGAAGCCCUGGCAUCAUUCUUAGCAUCUGUGAUCUCUGUGUUCCUUGGCCUGGCACCGAUGCCAUAGAACUUUUGACUCGGGAGCUCAGGCAGGCAUCAGAAUUGCAUAUUUCCUUAGAAGCAUCCAGUCAGAUGUCUUCUGCAGGUCUUCUUGUGAGCUGUAUGGACAGCUGUACUCUGCAAGGAUCCGUUAUCGUGCAUUAGGACUUGUAAGAACGUGAGGAUAGGUGUAGGAUUCAGAGGCAUCCAUCUUUGAAGUUCUUGGAAUAAAUCAUUCAGUUAGAAUCUUCUUCCUCCAGGGCUCUCUGAGCCUCAUCAGCUCACCGUUGGUCUCAGCUCGGUCACCUGAUUUUGCAUUUGCUCGGUCCUUGCAGUUAUUCUUCUUGCUAAGAGAUUUCUGUCCCUGCUGUGUCCCUGUUGUUUGUCAUGUCCUGUCCCCCGUCACGGGUGACUGCACAUAUUUGUGCUGGAGCUGCUCUGCCCUGUUGCGUAGCCUGAUGCGAUAGGAACGGUCCUGGGGGCUUGAAAUUUGUAAUGUGGGGCAUAGUUGGGCUCUAGAUGGUAUUCCUAGAUUGACACAAGAUGUUUAGAGCUGUGAAUUUAUCCUAAAUGCCUUUGACUCUUGUCCUAACUUUCUUUCAGAUGCAGAAGGAUACAAUGCUCGGCAGAGCGCUUCAUCCCUGGUGAGGAGGUUCCCCAACCAGGUCAGUCACUGUCUGUGUUUGCAGGGGAAGCAAAAAUGGUGACUGUUACAGCUCUGUCCUUUUCCUUUUUAUUUAUUUUUCUUUUGUUAGGCAGUAAAGCUGGAUAUCAGCAGUCAAGUUGAAGCGGGCAGGGUGAGCGGUGAGCCGUGGACAGAAGCAGUUGUUAUUGCUGAGGUCUCAAUUUCUGGUGCAACUCUAAGCAUCCAUUCUCAUUUGCGUGCUUUAGGCAGUCCACUCGGAGUAUGCCAAGCCCCCGUCACUCACUGGCCGAUGGACCUGGUUUGCUGCUCUUGUGAGCCCUCGGGAAGUCUGACAGGACUAGGUGAUGAAGCCUUUGCCUUUUCUAUUUGAAGGUGUCACCCGGGUAGCCUUUGGCCACGGCCGAGGAGUUGCGGUGUGUCGGGGAGGUAGGGAGGAAGGGCGAGGGUCCGCUCAGGUUUCAACAAUGCCACAUCACUUCAUCUCCUCUUAACCCAGGCAGACCCUGUGCCGACAGCAUCGCCCUCUGGGCGUGGCCGAAGCGUGCAGCAUUCUUAAGAGACCCGGACAUUCUUAGGAGGUUGCUGACUAUGAGACGGCAGCCCGGCGACAGCAGGAGCUUCCCAGCCGACGAGGCGGCCUUCCUUCGCACCUGGCACGGACCGGCGUCCCCAGAUGUCCGAGAGAUAAGUAGAGGGCCACGACCCACAGAGGGGAUGAAAGCGGGGUGCUGGGUUGGGAGUCACCGUGAGGGGUUUAUGAGUCCACUUUGGAGACGGGCUUGUCCAAGAAGUGGCCCCUUAGGCCAAAUAAAGGGAAAGUGUCACUUUUGAUCACAGCGCUGAGGUGUGCGCAGGGCAGAGCAGUCCCAGUGUGUAUCGUGACACUUGUCUAUCGUGCAUUCUGUGUGCUUGGGUGUCUCAUUUCUUUUUGCUUAGCCCUUUGAGGGGCCUGUCAGAAGCCCUGGCAUCAUUCUUAGCAUCUGUGAUCUCUGUGUUCCUUGGCCUGGCACCGAUGCCAUAGAACUUUUGACUCGGGAGCUCAGGCAGGCAUCAGAAUGGUAUUCUUCUUUAGAAGCAUCCGAUCAGAUGUCUUCUGCAGGCCUUGUUCUGAGCUGUAUGGACAGCUGUGACCUGCAUGGAUGCAUUAUGGCAGAUUAGGACUUAUAAGAAUGUGAGGACAGGUAGAGGAUUCAGACCGUAGGAUUCCCGUGCAUCCAUCUUUGCAUCUUUUAUUCUUGGAAUAAAUCAUUCAGUUAGCAUCUUCUUCCUCCAGGCUUCUCUGAGCCUCAUCAGCUCACUGUCGGUCUCAGCUCGGUCAUCUGAUUUUUGCAUUCUCUCAGUCCUUGCAGUCGUUUGUCUUGCCAAGAUAUUUCUGUCUCUGUUGCCAUUAUCUGUCAUGUCCUGUCCCCUGUCACGGGUGUCUGCACAUAUUUGUUCUGGAGCUGCUCUGCCCUGUUGCGUAGCCUGGUGCAUUUGGACCAUUCCCGGGGGCUUGAAAUUUGUAAUGUGGGGUGUAGUUGGGCUCUAGAUGGUAUUCCUAGAUUGACACAAGAUAUUUGGAGCUAUGAAGUCAUCUUGCAGCCCUUUGACUCUUGUUCUAACUUUCUUUCAGAUACAGAAGGAUGAAAUCUGUGGCAGAGCACCCCAUGCCGGGUGAGGGGGUUCCCCCGAGCCGGUCAGCCAGCGUCUGUCUGUGCAGAGGGAGUGUAAAUGGUGACUCUGUCUCAGCACUGUUAUUUUUCUUUAUUUUUACGAAGUCGAGCCAGAUAGCAGCAGUCAAGUUGAAGAGGGCAAGGCAAUCUAUUCAGAGUAUGCCAAGCCCCUGUCACACAGUGGCCGAUGGACCAGGUUUGCUGCUCUUGUGAGCCCUCGGGAAGUCUGACAGGACUCUGUGAUGAAGCCUUUGCCUUUUGACUUCCAAGGUCUCUUCCGGAUAGCCGUCAGGAACUGCUGAGAAGUUGUGGUGAGUCGGGGAGGUAGGGAGGAGGAGCAAGGAUCCACUCAGGUUUCAGCUAUGCCACAUCACCUCGUCUCCUCUUAAACCAGGCAGACCCUGCGAUGACGGUAUCGGCCUCUGAGCGCGGCAGAAGCGUGCAACCCAAGGAGACGGGCAUUCUUAGGAGAAUACUGACUAUGAGACAGCAGCCCGGCGACAGCAGGAGCUUCCCAGCCAACGAGGCGGCCUUCCUUCGCACCUGGCACGGACCGGCGUCACCAGAUGUCCGAGAGAUAAGUAGAGGGCCACGACCCACAGAGGGGAUGAAAGCGGGGUGCUGGGUUGGGAGUCACCGUGAGGGGUUUGAGUCCACUUUGGAGAUGGGCUUGUCCAAGAAGUGGCCCCUUAGGCCAAAUAAAGGGAAAGUGUCACUUUUGAUCACAGCGCUGAGGUGUGCGCAGGGCAGAGCAGUCCCAGUGUGUAUCGUGACACUUGUCUAUCAUGUCUUCUGUGUUGUUCGGAUAUCUCUUGUCUUCUAGCUUAGCCCUUUGGAGCCUGUCAGAAACCCUGGCAUCAUUCUUAGCAUCUGUGAUCUGUGUUCCUUGCCCAGGCACCGAUGCCAUAGAACUUUUGACUCGGGAGCUCAGGCAGGCAUCAGAAUUGCAUUCUUCUUUAGAAGCAUCCAGUCCGAUGUCUUUUAAGCUGUAGAUGUCUUCUGCAGGUCUUCUUGUGAGCUGUAUGGACAGCUGCACUCUGCAAGGAUCCAUUAUGGCCAAUUAGGAAAUGUAGGAAUGUGAAGAGGUAGAGGAUUCUGAACGUAGGAUUCACAGGCAUCCAUCUUUGUAGUUCUUGGAAUAAAUCAUUCAGUUAUCAUCUUCUUCCUCCAGGGCUCUCUGAGCCUCAUCAGCUCGCCGUCGGUCUCAUCUUGGGCAUCUGAUUUUGCAUUCUCUAAGUUCUUGCAGUCAUUCUUCUUGCCAAGAUAUUUCUGUCCCUGUUGCGUCCCCGUUGUUUGUCAUGUCCUGUCCCGUGUCACGGGUGACUGCACAUAUUUGUGCUGGAGCUGCUCUGUCCUGUUGCAUAGCCUGGCGCAAUAGAACAAGUCCAGGAGGCUUGAAAUUUGUAAUGUUGGGUGUAGCUGGACUCUAGAUGGUAUUCCUAGAUUGACACAAGAUGUUUAGAGCUGUGAUAUUAUCCUGCAUCCCUUUGACUCUUGUGUUUCUUUCAGAUGUAGAAGUAUAGAAUCCCUGGUAGAGCGCCCCGUCCCAGGCAGUAAAGCUGGAUAUAAGCAGUCAAAUGGAAGAGGGCAAGGUCGUCCACUUGCGACCUCUCCCUGGCCAAGGAUGCCCGAUGCCAGAUGCUGUCGCUGCCCUGGGUGUGCCAAGGAACAGAGGCAAGCGGGUAUCUUCUGGCCAGCCUCGAGUCGAAUCAAGAUUUGAGGUACCGUGAGGAGGUUUGUAGGCAAAGUUUGGAAAUGGCUGCACCAAAGCACACGUCUCGAUGUCCACAUCCAGCUGACGAUGGAUUUUGUUCGCUCAUCUUCCAAAAGCUAAGUGUUGGGGCAAGUAGUUGGGAGAAGGGGAAAAACCUUUGCUAUCACAGGAGGCAGUUUAAUGUUAGCUUAGCGGAGAGGUCUGUAGUGGGAUGGGGCCCUUUGGAAGUAAAGGGAUAGGCCUUGUCCUCAGCCUCAGCAGAGCCUUUGGCGGGCAGGGCAGUUCCGAUCCAUCUCUGCAUUCUCUUUGAACGUUUCUCUGUGAACUUUGCGUCGUCAGCCUUCUUCGACUCUCAGCGUCGUCGUGGAUCUUUCCCCCGAGGAGCUCGCCUUCAGGCCCGGAGCUAUAGCCACGGUCACCCGGCAGUCUUCGCUUCCUUCUCUAGGCAUACUGAGCCUUUUGAGCAUCCUCCUAACUGCUUUGACACUAACUUCUUUUAAGGAGUUACGUUUCAUCAUCACGUGCUGUCCUAGGGCUUUCUUUCCUUUGGCAUCAUCAGCCUGUGGCUCAUCUUGCGCUAGGAAUCUUGGGUCCAUAAGGUGAAACUGCCAGGCGGUUUCCACUCGUGUCUGUGUUAUGUCAUCCGUGUCUGUGUUAUGUCGUCCGUGUCCAUUGUCUUCUGUGCCGUAGGCCUUUGUUACAUCUCUAUGCUUUGUCGGCAUCAUUCUGCAUCAUAUCGGCCGCAUUUUACUCACGUUCCUCCCCGGAUAUCGCUUGUUCUAGCAUCUUUACAUUUUUACUCUCUGAGCCAGGAAGAAGUACACAAGAUAGUUUCAUUCAUCUUCCUUCUCAACUUUGGCAGUGCCUUUUUUUCCCAUGCCGUUCUCUUGGACUUCCAUAGGGAGUGUAUUACACCCUCCUCACGUGACUGUACUAGUUCUCUAGGUUCCAUCUUCUCAAAGGGUAGAGGGCUCAAGAAUUAAUCCUCCAGACA